rnacentral:rRNA from 1 species
AGUGAACGCUGGCGGUAGGCCUAACACAUGCAAGUCGAACGGCAGCACAGUAAGAGCUUGCUCUUACGGGUGGCGAGUGGCGGACGGGUGAGGAAUACAUCGGAAUCUACUUUUUCGUGGGGGAUAACGUAGGGAAACUUACGCUAAUACCGCAUACGACCUACGGGUGAAAGCAGGGGAUCUUCGGACCUUGCGCGAUUGAAUGAGCCGAUGUCGGAUUAGCUGGUUGGCGGGGUAAUGGCCCACCAAGGCGACGAUCCGUAGCUGGUCUGAGAGGAUGAUCAGCCACACUAGAACUGAGACACGGUCCAGACUCCUACGGGAGGCAGCAGUGGGGAAUAUUAGACAAAGGGCGCAAGCCUGAUCCAGCCAUACCGCGUGGGUGAAGAAGGCCUUCGGGUUGUAAAGCCCUUUUGUUGGGAAAGAAAAGCAGCAGGUUAAUACCCCGCUGUUCUGACGGUACCCAAAGAAUAAGCACCGGCUAACUUCGUG